rnacentral:rRNA from 1 species
CGUGCGGUUCUAUUUCGUUGGUUUCUAGAGUCGCCGUAAUGAUUAAUAGGGAUAGUUGGGGGCAUUAGUAUUCCGUUGCUAGAGGUGAAAUUCUUGGAUUUACGGAAGACUAACUUCUGCGAAAGCAUUUGCCAAGGAUGUUUUCAUUAAUCAAGAACGAAGGUUAGGGGAUCGAAAACGAUCAGAUACCGUUGUAGUCUUAACAGUAAACUAUGCCGACUAGGGAUCGGGCGAUGUUAUCCUUUUGACUCGCUUGGCACCUUACGAGAAAUCAAAGUCUUUGGGUUCUUUGGGGGGAGUAUGGUCGCAAGGGUGAAACUUAAAGAAAUUGACGGAAGGGCACCACCAGGAGUGGAGCCUGCGGCUUAAUUUGACUCAACCCGGGGAAAAMACAAAAAAUCCAGACACCAUAAGGAUUGACAGAUUGAGAGCUCCUUCUUGAUUUUGUUGGUGGUGGUGCAUGGCCGUUCUUAGUUGGUGGAGUGAUUUGUCUGCUUAAUUGCGAAUACGAACGAGACCUUAACCUGGUAAAUAGCCAGGCUAACUUUGGCUGGUCGCCCGGCUUCUUAGAGGGACUAUCGGCUCCAGCCGAUGGRAGUUUGAGGCAAUAACAGGUCUGUGAUGCCCUUAGAUGUUUUGGGCCGCACGCGCCGCCUACCACUGACCAGAGCCCAACGAGAUUCAUCACCUUGUCCGAAAGGUCUGGGUAAUCUAGUUAAACUCCUGUCGUGCUGGGCAUAGAGGCAUCGCACCCUUCG